AUUGAACGCUGGCGGCAUGCUUUACACAUGCAAGUCGAACGGCAGCACGGGUGCUUGCACCUGGUGGCGAGUGGCGGACGGGUGAGUAAUACAUCGGAACGUGUCCUGAAGUGGGGGAUAACGCAUCGAAAGAUGUGCUAAUACCGCAUAUUCUCUGAGGAGAAAAGUAGGGGAUCGAAAGACCUUAUGCUUUUGGAGCGGCCGAUGUCUGAUUAGCUAGUUGGUAGGGUAAUGGCUUACCAAGGCGACGAUCAGUAGUUGGUCUGAGAGGACGGCUAGCCACACUGGGACUGAGACACGGCCCAGACUCCUACGGGAGGCAGCAGUGGGGAAUUUUGGACAAUGGGCGCAAGCCUGAUCCAGCAAUGCCGCGUGAGUGAAGAAGGCCUUCGGGUUGUAAA
rnacentral:rRNA from 1 species